rnacentral:rRNA from 1 species
GUAAGGAAUAUUGGUCAAUGGAGGCAACUCUGAACCAGCCAUGCCGCGUGCAGGAAGACGGCCCUCUGGGUUGUAAACUGCUUUUAUCUGGGAAUAAACCUGCUUACGUGUAAGUAGCUGAAUGUACCAGAAGAAUAAGGAUCGGCUAACUCCGUGCCAGCAGCCGCGGUAAUACGGAGGAUCCAAGCGUUAUCCGGAUUUAUUGGGUUUAAAGGGUGCGUAGGCGGCCUGUUAAGUCAGGGGUGAAAGACGGUGGCUCAACCAUCGCAGUGCCCUUGAUACUGAUGGGCUUGAAUGGACUAGAGGUAGGCGGAAUGAGACAAGUAGCGGUGAAAUGCAUAGAUAUCACGCAGAACUCCGAUUGCGAAGGCAGCUUACUAAGCUACAACUGACACUGAAGCACGAAAGCGUGGGGAUCAAACAGGAUUAGAUACCCUAGUAGUCC